UACGUAGGGGGCAAGCGUUGUCCGGAAUUAUUGGGCGUAAAGCGCGCGCAGGCGGCCUUUUAAGUCUGAUGUGAAAUCUUGCGGCUUAACCGCAAGCGGUCAUUGGAAACUGGGAGACUUGAGUGCCGAAGAGGAGAGUGGAAUUCCAUGUGUAGCGGUGAAAUGCGUAGAUAUAUGGAGGAACACCAGUGGCGAAAGCGGCUCUCUGGUCUGUAACUGACGCUGAGGGACGAAAGCGUAGGUAGCGAACAGG
rnacentral:misc_RNA from 1 species